GUUGUGUCAAAUAAUAGAAUUGAUUCAGCCGUCUCCCAAGUCCUACUUGAUUAUGUGCAACUCUUCGUCGUUGUAUAUUGAUAUAGAAACUUUGCUGGUUGCUGCAAAAAUAUGGUAAAAUUUCCGUAAAAUAUCAUAUUUUCAGAGGAACACUCUCUUUCUUUCUAUCUCUUACCGUCAAAAGGAUAAAGCGUCCGGCAUCUCGAUGGCGACUGUGCGUCACCUCGUCAACGUAAUACUCCUACUAUCACAGUUGCCAGGUAGCGACGUUCUCCAUUCGCCGAGGCCAGAUGGAAUAAUCAUAAAACUGUGCAAAAUGGACUUUGGACAGAUAAGAAAAUAUUUCAACUUUUAAAGGGGUCCUAUCCAAAGUUUCUUUGAAUCUACGGAAGAAGCAUCGAUGAUCGUAUCAAGUUACACUUUGUUGAUCACUUAUCGCUAUUUGGACGAUAAAGUAAACCGCGC